rnacentral:lncRNA from 1 species
UAUGUUUCAUCGGGUGCAAUUGAAAAAACUCCAGCUUCACGUGGGGCAAUCUGAGCCACAGAUCCUCCUUUAUCUCCCACCUUCCCAUCAGGCUUUUACCAGGGGGGAUGCUUAUGGGCCAAGUGAUUAAGACUAGGAUGAAUGGCCCAGAGCUGAGUGGGGCAGAGAGAAACCCUCCACAGAGCCUAGGUCUACUUUUCUGAGUGAGUCACAUGUUUUCAGCAACUGGAUUGGGGGCUCAGGACUGGAAGUACCAUUCAAUUUUCUGUGAAAACCAAGCCCAAUUGAGUUGUCCUCUGGGCUCCAAGAGAAGCUUUGUUAUUCCAAGAGGACUGACCCAGGACCCCUAUUUUAUAUCUGGACAUCUUGGAGCCACCCAUGUGCUCUGGGGCACUUGCCAUCUAAAGACAAGCAAAUAAGCAUCAAGUCCCACUUCCCAGCCCUUGGGGUGGUUAACACUGGCUACCUGUUAUUAGGUGGCCUGGGCAAGGCCUCUCACACAGGCAGCAACCAGAGUAGAGUCUGUCCAGCCCUGAUUUGGAGUCUACAUUGACCUUGGCAUGACUCCCUGUUGCUCAUAACCAGAUCCACUGGAUGAACACCAGGUGGGGGAUCAGCAGCCACAUACCCCCAAACCACCUUAGAAUGCGUGAAACUCUGGGGCAUCCAGAAACUUCCCUUCCUCCCCAUCUAGAAACACCUGGAAACAUAAGAACACCUGACAUCACUAGUAAGAUGGUAAACAACCUCCUGCUCUGUAUUUAUGUUCAGUGGAAGUGACAAGGACACAUAGCCUUUCCCAAACACAAGUAAUCCCCAUGCAGAAGCUUCUGUAGCUGAAAAUGCAGCCUCUGCACACUGGCACCAAUUAAGUCUUGGAGACAGAGUUCUGAGGAAGAGAAAGGACAGUCUUUUGCUUUGCGAGAUAGAGGAGGACACAGCAGGCUCAGGCUAGUGCCUCAAAACUAUGUCUUUACUUGAGAGGAGAUAGAGCAAGGGGUUUUAUAUGUUUAGCUCAGAAGACAGGCUUAUUGAUUAAGGUUUCUAUAUUAUUCUUCAUCCAUAGAUAAUUUCAGAGUCGUCAGAACCAGCAUCAGUGGGUCUGGUGAUGGUUUCUGGUUGUCUUUGGGGUUAUUCUUCCUUGACCUUCUCUCUGGAAUGAAGACUGCUUACAGGAAAGGGAUGUUGGGAGUGUUUUAGUUACAAAAGGAAACACCAGGUGCAAUAUAACUCUAACUAGAAAGUAAAUAUCGGUAAUGAGUUAGUGGGCCAAGGCAGGACACAGUGGAGACUGUUUUAACUAAUUUUUAGCUGUAAACAUAUUUCUUAAUCAUUAACUCUUGAGUCAGCCUUUUGAGACUGAGGAGAGGCCUGGGAGGCUAAAGGAAAGGUCUCUUACUUCAAAAUACAAAGAUUUAGAGGAUGGUACAUGGUUUUACUUCCCCCUAACUGUACAACUUGAACUGAGGUACAGACUAAUUACCUUCAAUCUAUUGUUUUUAGCCUCAGCAUCCCCUCUUUCCAGCACUUUCACACUGGAGCUCAAGGUUGUGAUGGUCUUGCUAUCUUGAUUACAAUGACCUGUCUGUGACCUCCUACUUUGUUCCUCCUAUCAGCCCCUGAGGCUCCUCUUAGGAAUGUGGAGGGGUCUUCAAAGGACAGUCUGAAAUCCACUGCAGCUAAUCAAGAAUCUCCACCACUGAAGAAGCCACUUGAGAACCCAGUUUUUUCUUCAGGGGAGAAGGUGGGCCCUCAGGCACGAUCCUCAUUCAGUUCUAUUGGCCCCUCAGUGAAUCAAGACAAGGGUCCUGCUGAAAAGGGGCUGGGGCUGCAGUCCCAUCCCCUCCCCUGUUCCUCAAGCUAUGGACCCUGCCACAGGGCUUCCCGCAACUAGUGGCAGGGAAAAAUUUUUCCAGUUUGCCCCAAGGCAUACAGCAAGAGCUCUAGCUCCUCAUCUUCCAAGGUUUUUUUUUUUUUUUUUUUUUUUUUUUUUUUUUUUUUUUUUUUUUCCAUAUUCUGGAAGCUGCCUCCUUCUUUAAGAAUAAGAAAGCUCAAACUCAGCAAAAAGAAGUGAUGUCAGGAGCAACAGACAGGAAGAGCAUUACAGAGAGGGCUGAGGUCAGACAUGGAACAAGAUUCAAGUGCCUGCAUGAAUUGUACUUAUUGUUGGUUCUGAAGUAAAUGUCCAUUGGGCUUAUUUUGUUGACAUACCUCAUGCAAUAAAUGGGUUUUAUACAAGCGAAUGGAGAAAUUAAUUGAUCCCAAUAAAAGAACAGAUUCAUUUGAAGAGACUAGCCUGGUAGGAGACACACUUUCUUUCUCUGAAGCCCGUCCCAUCCCCACCGCUGCGAGGGCCUGCGGGGUUGCAGGAACGGGGUCAUGUGUGCCCCUGGACAGGCUCUCCUCGCCCAGCUGUCCUCCCCAACCACAUGCUCCUGAGCAGUGCUGUCCACUCACCAUACAGAGCAAGUCCUCCUACUCUACUGCAGGGAAUUAACAGGCAGAGGUGAAAAAAUGAUUCCACAGUGUUAAUUAAUCUUUAAUUAUGCCCCAUGUCAUUACCUCAGCAAAGACUCUUAUAAGGCCUGUCCAGCUAUCAGGGGGAAUGUCAGAGGGGAAGUGAAAGAACUUCUCCUCCACCCUGUCUGCAGCCACAUUCCAGGUUUGCAAAGUUUUCUCACCAGUCCAGUUAGGCAGGAAAAGACAUGCAGACCUCCCCCUCAAAGGUCCAUUGGCGUGGAGGCAGCAGGCUAAAGGGGACUUUGAAAGUGAUAAUUAAAAGGAAAAGUCUGCAAGCCUUUCAAGUUCUCUUGGGUCUAAGAGCCCUUUUGCUUUCCUCCAGCAUCUACAACUGCUACCAGGGCUUGGAACAACUCUCCGGGGGGCUGCUUUUUAUGCUCUUAUGCAGCAGUCCAGGCUGGCAGCUUAGCCAGGAAGGUAAGCUACUGUCUCAGGGAUGGUCUAAAUAUCCCAUGGAAGAAUCUCCUCCGUGUCCACCUACUGGGAGACCGGAAGGUGGGAUCUUCUCUAAAGUGGAGGGAUUUGACAAUAGGAGAGGGUGAGAAUUGAUCUAGCACAUCAAUAAUAAUUCUAUCAGGCCUUUGAAACAUCUUAUCCAGCCUCUGCGGUGGGGGUAGGGUAGGGGUGGGGAAGGGCUCACAACCUGAAAUCCGAUCACACAGCUUUGGUGCCUAUAUUAUUUUGCAGGGUAUCUUUUCAAUAAUCCAUUGAUUAAGCAAUUGCUUCAGAAAUAGAUGGGAAUCCUAGCUCUGUCCCUUGCAAGCUAUAUGAUCAUAAGCCCAGAAGCUAAUUUCUCUGAACCUUGGUCUCCUCAUCUGUAAAAUGGGGGUUAAGAAUAGUACUGAACCCUCAUAAUAUAAUACAAGAUCUUGAUAUAGGGCUUUAUAAUACAUUAAACAUGUUCCAUUAUUUAGCACAAAUGGUACUGAAAGGCAAACUGAGACUCAGAAAGAGCUGAAGCAACUUGACCAACGUAACAUGAAGAUUUUAAAGAGGCAGAGCUAGAAUCUAAACCCAGAUCACCCAGAUGUCAAAAACUAUGCUGGUUACCACCUCUGUGGUGCAUUCUGAAGACUGCAAGCCUGAUAAAGAAACUAGCAUGAGUAAUUCAGGAUGUGAGCUUCACAAGGGCAGAAGUGUUCUGCCAUGUGCACUGCUGGGUCCCCAGAGCACCUGCAGGAGCCCCUAACAAACUGAGGAUGCCUGCUUACUCUGUGUGUGUGUGUGUGCAAUUAUGUAAGAGAGAGGAAUUGGAGAGAAGGGAGGGGGAAAAGAGAGAAAAAAGGAGAGAGAGAAAGGAAGAGAAGAAAGGUAUUAUGGAUAGGAGAGAGAUAUGGAAGCAAACAAUCUCUGGAAAGGUGGAACUUAUGUAUUGCGGUUAUGAAAACAAAAAGUCAGGAGAAGCAGAUGUGGUGCUACGUGGAGGUCAGGAGCUGAAAUAAAUGCAGCCAACACUGCCACUGCUGGGAUACGGCCCUUAGGGGGAGUUUUAACCCAUGACAGGUCAGUUCAUGCUGAGCACGGUCUUGUUCUGUGCCAGAGGGGGCAAACUGCCAAGAACGCCCCAUGGAGGAAGGAAAAAACAGAAUACUCUUACUGACAUGAGAGCUUCAGAAACGUUAGUAAUCUGCCCCCCCCUUUUUUUGAUCUCUUUAGGGCCACACCUGUGACAUAUGAAUGUUCCCAGGCUAGGGGUCAAAUCAGAGCUAUAGCUGCCAGCUACAUUUACGACCCGAGCCACAUUUACGACCUAAACCAGAGCUCAGGGCAACACCGGACCCUUAACCCACUGAGCAAGGCCAGGGAUUGAACCCAUGUCCUCAUGGAUACUAGUCAGGUUCGUUACCACUGAUCCACGAUGGGAACUCUCAAUAAUGCCUAUUUGAAAGCUCUUUAAUGCUAUUUUGACACCAGCAUAAUAUUUAUCUAUCUACCUGUCUAUCUAUUUACCUUCAGUAUCAUAGAAUCAAAAGUUGAGGAGGAUCAUGGCAAAAUAAUCAAAGCAAGAACCAAAAGAGAAAUAUAUAAAGAUUAAAGAUUUCUAUAUGGCAAUCUAUACCAUAAAGGUAAAAAAAAAAAAUACACUGGAAAAAUUUGUGCAAGUUGUUUGAAAGACAAAGAUGGAACUAAUAUUCAGAAUGUGACUGGAGCACCUCUGAAUCAAUAAGAAAUAGACAACUUCUUAGAAACAUGUGAAGAGAAUAGCAACAGACAUUUCAGAGAAAAAUGCAGAAGUCCAAUAAAUAUUUGAAGAGAUUCCAAGCUCUCCAGAAUUUGGGGAAUUGUAUAGUCAAACUUUUCAAAAAAGAUUGAUAAUAGUGUAUUUGUUCUUACGUGGACAAAUAGACCUUUAAUAUACUGUUGGUUAGAAUAUAAGUGGGAAGCUUUUGUAGAAGGUAAUUUGGUAGUAUUCAUCAAAAUUAAAAAUGAACAGAUUCAGGCUUUAUCUCUUGAAAUACUUACAUAUUUGGAUAAAAAUAGGAUCCCAGGAGUUCCCGUCUUGGCUCAGUGGUUAAUGAACCUGACUAGUAACCAUAAAGAUGCAGGUUCUAUCCCUGACCUUGCUCAGUGGGUUAAGGAUCCUGCGUUACUGUAAGCUGUGCUGUAGGUC